UAACACACAAACAAGUACAGAUUCAAUUAGAACACACACCAAAAUUUGAUAUGUACGAUGCUAUAUAAUAUACGUAUCUAGCUUCUAAUUCCCAAACAAACAAAUGUCAAGCUCCUGAUAUGACUUCAACAGAGAAACCCUGAUUUGAAAAAAAAAAUCCAUAGCAGAGCAAAAAAAAACCACACCUUUCCACAUUCGCUAAAAUGGCAAAGAGCCCAGACGAUGUUUUUACCUGAAAUGUGGGAUCUGGGAAGCUAAUCAACGAAGAGACUCUUUAUAUAUGUGUUCCACCAAAUGUGGGAUCUGGGAAGCCCAAACUUGUAUUUUGUCCCACAUCGGUUACAUACCUCAAAAUGUUUUACUUUAUAUAUGAAAUUAAAUCAAUACUUGUACGUCGAGCUCAGUAACGUGGGCUUGUGACCCGUGUGGGGACAAUAAGUUGGUGGAACACUGGCUCGGCCCACGGGUCGGAUCUGUUGUGGCAUUGUUCCGGGCUGCCCAGUCCAAGCUGAGAGUGAUCCGUGUGUGUUAAGCGAAGGCUUGGCUCAGGCGGUUCUUGCAGUGGAGGGCAAUGCGUGAGGCUGGUUUCACAGAGCAGCGAUCACCUCCCGCUCUCAGCAGUGGACGGAUCACAGCUCGACGCCACUCAGAUUCACCAUGGCCUGCUGGCUCGUUCCCAGCUGGACCACCAAUUUUUUAUUUUCUUUUUGACAAUUGUAUUUAUG